rnacentral:lncRNA from 1 species
GGAAGGAUGUCGAGAGGGUUUUUUAGAAACUAAUAAAAAAACAAAUUACAUAGCUCGUCAGGAAACUGCAAGACAAAUUUAUUAAGCAUAAUUAAUCUGUCAUUAGCAUAACUGUAGCACUUAAGGCUAAUUAUGGAGUAACUAGCUUUAAAAGAUUCGUCUCGCGAUUCUUAACUAAACUGUGUAAUUAGUUUAUUUUUUUUAUCUACAUUUAAUGUUCCAUGCAUGUGUCCAAAGAUUCGAUGGGAUGGAUGAAAAAUUCUUAGGUGGAAAACUAAACAGGGCCUUAUACUAUACAUGCUCAAUGGCAAUCCCUUGCCUUUGGCCGGCCGACUGCAAGUCGGGGAUGUUGACUACACGCUGCAUCACACUCGAAUACAGAAGAGAACAGAACCAUGCAUGCAGCUUGCAGCAAGGCUUUUUUUGAGCGCUGGGACAAGCAGGCCACAGUACGUGUCAUCUGAAUCAAUUCAGACGGCACAAUCACAUGCCAGGCCCAGUUUUUAGCUGAUGCUACUGUUUACCUAGCGCGGCUGAUGAGUGCCUGAGACACAACAGAGAGCACAAGGCUCGCUCGUCCCUGUAGGUAGCUGUUGCAAGCAAAUAUACUGCCUGUCAGUGACGCAGAAGCAGCGACUUGUCCCGUGUAUAGUACGAGUACUCGCCUACUCGGCACUGCUGCUGCUCUCCCUCCCUUGGAGUGGACUCGUCACGUCAGGUCGUCAGGGCGGUCACGGGAAAGCCGUUGCGCCGCCUGCCCCUUCUGCGGGCCGAAUCUAACUGGCCCAAAGCCCAUGCUUCUGGAAGUCCAACAGCCCACCUCUGAUCUAGCUAUCCACACUUGAUAUAUAAUUAAUUCAUAGAGUAUUUUUACAAUGGUUAGAGAGACGAUGAAAAGCGAUUGGAUCCAGAAUAUAAAAAGCAAUAAGAGGUGAUGGAAGCAAGGUCAUGGGAGGCGAUAGGUGUGUCUAUAGUUGGUAGGCCAUAGACGUCACAUCGUCUUCUAUCGUCUCCGAAAUUAUGAUGAUUAGGACCCUAAAUAUAGGAGUGAUAUUUCCUUUUUUUGUAUUUCUUUUUUUUAAUGAAGGGUGAAAAGGUAAAUUUAUAAUUGUAAAAAUAAUAUUUUGAGUAGCAUAGUUAGGGUGUAUGAUUCAAGUACUAUAGUUAGUUAGAUAAAAAUCUUCUUCUUAAGUUUUUUUUUUAAAAUUUUCUUAGGGUUCCACCCGCUGGCGUCCAGUAGUGCGUGUUACAGGAAGCUGUCGUCGCCGAUGAUAGGAGUUGGGGUUUGAGAUAACCUUGUACAAUGACAUUAUUACCCUUCCACGAAUUAAAUCAAGAAACAAGUUUUUUAGCGGAGGCAAGGAGAGAUGAUUGGAAGAGAUUCCAAUCAUUGUAAAAGGUCUCCUAAUUUAUAUAUGCCCAUGCUUCGUUCAGCCUGACAAACCUACUCUUUUAUAUUAACUACUAAAUUUAUAGAAAAAAUAUAUAAAUGUUUAUAGUACCAAAUAAAUAGAUUAUAAAAUAUUUACGUUGAUGAUACUAAUUUAAUAUCGUAAGACUUCAUGUUUUUUUUAUGAACUUAAGAUGUACAACACUAAGUAUAUGAGUUAAUAAUUUAUUCAAAGCCAAGCAAGUACGUAUAUUAGAAGCCACGCCAGUGGUCGCCUUUUAUUAGUACUGUUCCGAUCUUGUAUCAUUUGUGUCACCUUGCUUAGCUACAAAUUAGAAUUGCCAAAAGCUUGUUUUGGAUGUCUAGCGAGCAUACCUUGAUCCCUGUGCUACCAAGAUUUUCUUUGCUUGAGCAAGAGAGGCCUUGUUUAGGCUGUGUUUAGUUUCUGAAGGAAAAAAAAUUUCGCGACACUAUAGUAUUUUCGUUUGUUUGUGGUAAUUAUUGUCCAACUAUGGACUAACUAGGCUCAAAAGAUUCGUCUCAUAAAUUUCGACCAAACUAUGCAAUUAGUUUUUAUUUUCGUCUAUAUUUAAUACUCUAUGCAUGUGUUUAAAGAUUCGAUGUGACGGAGAAUUUUGAAAAAUUUUGGGUUUUGGGUGGAAGUAAACAAGGCCUAAGUUCUGUCCCAACAACAAAAAAAACUUUUUAAGAUUUCCCGUCACAUCAAAUCUUGUGGCACAUAUAUAGAGAAUUAAAUAUAGAUGAAAACAAAAACUAACUAUCCAGUUUAUCUAUAAAUCGUGAGACGAAUCUUUUAAGCCUAGUACUCUAUAAUUAAAUAAUAUUUAUCAAAUAACAAAUAAAAUGCUAUAGUGUCAAAAUCUAAAGCCUUUUUGAAUCUAAACAAGGCGAGAGUCAAAUUUGGACUCUCCCGGUCUAGCAAGCCUCUUCUUAUUUGUGCCCGUCUAGCCAGGCAACGUAAGCUGGCUAGCCCCAAAACCACGCAUGCUCUAUAUCUAUGCCUAAUACUUAAUCAUGAAAAUUUCACUCUGCCAAAGAUUUAGCCGCCUCCCCCGUCGAGUGUCCAGUCCGAGUCCGUCGGUAGCCUCUCCCGUCUAGCGUCCGGUCCGAGUAUAUCCGUAGUGGAAGAAAAAAAUAAAAUAGAAAUAUUUCUAGGGUUCCUAAUAUAAAAUCUUCUAUACACAUUACACACACUCAAAAUAAGAAAAGUACAAGGACAUAAAUGCAAAGUGUUUGUCCUAUUAAUUUACUUUUCUUUUAUUCUUUAAAUUGGUUCAAAAUUGAUAAAUGCAUAGUAAUUUAUAGAAAAAUCUAAAAAUUAUAAAAUAAUUUUUGUUCAGCUCCACAUAUAUAGAUCCAUGCAGUAAACAAAAAUAUCACAAAUUUUAGUAUAUUUUUUUUGCUGAAGAUGCUUGUCUAUGCUUUUUAGUGUAAAAUUGAUCGGUUGAAAAUUGAUAAAUGCGUAGUAAUUCAUAGAAAAAUCUAAAAAUUACAAAAUAAAUUUUGUUCAGCUCCACAUAUAUAAAUCCAUGCAGUAAAUAAAAAAUAUCAUAAAUUUUAGUAUAUUUUUUGCUGGAGAUGCUUGCCUAUGCUUUUUAGUGUAAAAUUAAAAUUAUAGUUAUCUGCUCCAAUUAUUAUGAAAUUUUUAUGGUAGCCCAUUUAAUGUGAUGCUUGGUAAAUAUUUUAGCACCAUUCCUGUAUAUCUCACUGAUUUACUAAUUUACCUAAAUUUAUGCUUGAGGAUGCUUCCACUACCUUUGCACGAUGUGUUGUUAUGUCAUAUGAACACUUCAUAAGACUAUUUGUUCAUAAUCUACAUACAUUUAACUGAUAUAUCAUAUUUCAUAGGAAUCCUAAUCUAAAUAAAAAAUAAAGCUAGCAACAAACUUUUCAUGUUUUAAUAUAAUACUUCCUCCAUCCCAAAUUGUAAGUCAUUACAAGAAUCUUGGAGAGUCAAACUUUUCUAAGUUUGACCAAAUUUAUAUGAUAAAAUAAUUAUUAUUAUGAUACUAACUAAGUAUCAUUAGAUUCUUUCUUAAUUAUAUUUUCAUAGUAUACUCACUUUACGUUAUAAAUCUUAGUAUUUCUCUCUAUAGUUUUGGUCAAACGUGAAAAUACUUUGACUCUCCAAGAUUCUUGGAAUGACUUACAAUUUGGGAUGGAGAGAGUACUAAGGUAUAUUAUGAGGUAAUAUUAGAGUAAGAUAAGGUUUGACUAAUUUCUAUUUUUAUUAUUAAACAAAUAUGUCUCCAAGACUCCAAGUUACAUAUUAUUGUAAAUAUUAACUAUCUAAUACCAUAGAUGUCAUGGUUAUCAAUAAAAGAAAUUAUAGAAUUUAAAUUUUAUAAAAAAAGAUAAAUAUAAAUAGAUAUGUAACAUCCAUUUGAUGUUUUUCUCCUGUUGCAAUGCACGGAUAUAUUUGCUAGUAUUAUUUAAGUGGAGGGCUGGAUGAAUAUCUUCUUUCUUUUUUUGGCGAUGGUGCUAAAAAAGUGUCGUUUUAGAAUUUUAGACAUCUUAUUUGAUCAUUCGUCUUAUUUAAAAUUUUUACAUAAAUAUUAUAUAUUUUGUUAAGACCUAUUUUAUUAUUAGAGAUACUUUACUAAUGAUUUAUUUAUUUUAUAAUUUAUAUAAAGUUUUUGAAUAAGAUGAACGGUCAAACAUGAUUUUUAAAAGUAAAAAAUGUUAUUCUUUUUGGAUGGAGGGAGUAAGCAUAUGAUAGGAUCAGACAACCUAUACUAUAUCAUGUCUUUACUCCAUCAAUCUGUGCUCCCACAGACCAGAAUUUAUUGUCGGUUGCCAACACUAUAUUAUUGAACAUUAGAUACUACAGUUUAAUUACUACAACAUACUCAUAAAUCACUGCCGGGUGCCAACACUAUAUUACUGUCGGUUUUAUCAACAUGUAGUGGGCUUGGAAGGGUGCUAGUUUUUUUCUUUUUAUUUAAAUGACAAGUGCUAGUUUCGCCUAGGAAAUUGUGGCGGCAAUAGCAGCCGUGCAUGUGUGUUCCGUGUGGUUGCUGGCUGCAAUAUGGGCUACUCUAUUGGUGGCCUUAUUUGUGUAGUGGGCUUUAAACAUAUCAAACUAGGACUACCUGCUUCUUUUGGGCUAGGCAAACAUAUUUUAUUUUUCUUUUCUUUUUUAUAGAUAUCCUAGUUUCGCUCGCCCUCGCAGGUGAGCAACCAACAGUAUUUUCCUGCGAAAUUGCGGCGACGACGGCACCCGUGCAUGUGUGUUCCGUAUGGUUGCCAAUAUGGGCUACUCUAUUGGUAGCCUUAUUUGUGUAGUGGGCUUUAAACAUAUGGGCUAUCUAGGACUAUCUGGUUCUUUUGGGCUAGGCAAACAUAUUUUAUUUUUCUUUUCUUUUUUUGUAAAUAUCCUAUGAUCACGAACCUUGUUCCGGACUCAUCCUCCUCCUGAAGAAUGUUGGAUCAUGUUCCCCUUUCGAACCACUAUACCAAAGAGGUAUACACCCGACCUCGCCCCAAACUCAUUGGAUCACUUUCCCUUCUCGAACCACCGUUCUAAAAGGCAUACACUUGAGUGUAAUACCCGAUUUUAAGGACAAAACCAGAUAUGCACCAUAUGUGAGUUUUAAAAAACAAAUCUCACAUAUAGCUACAAAUAAAGGUAAUAUCAAAAGACAAUGCAUAAAUAUAUAACGUACAUAAUAUAAAAGAGAUAACCUUUAGCAUCAAACAGCGGAUAGACAACUCUAAACUUCGGGUAUUAACUUCUCUCCACAGGAUCCAACUGACUGGUUGAUCACAAGCCCAAAACAUCUCCUGAGGUGUGGGGGAAAUUGCAAGAGUGAGCACAUAUCGUACUCAACAAGUAUAACCAGGGGUUCAUGAGGCUCAAAUAGCUGACAUUGGUUUGACUGCAUUUAGCUUUUAAUAGUUGAUAGCAUGUUUAAUCAUUGGAUAGCAAAUGUCAAGGUAGCAUAAUAAAAUCCCAUAACCACAUGAUCAAUGUAUACAAGAAUUAUGAAUAACACAUAUAAACAACAUAAUAAACCAUCAUUUAUUAUCAUUAAUCAUGUUCAUCAGUGUCCAUCUAUUCCGUCAGUUUUCCGGGCCGCCCGUAUCCGUGGGCACGGCUAGUAUACCAGAUUUAACACUCUGCAGAGGUUGUACAUCUUUACCCAUGAGUCGUGAUUUACCCUUUCGCCCGAGGUCAUGAGUCUCUUAACCCCCUUCCAAGGGAGGUCGGCAGGGAUCACUAUGAAGCCAUUCAAAGGUUUCGUCUAACAAGUUAGGGCCAUUAGAUUCACUCGGCAGGCAGAUAUAGAGCCCUCCUUCCAUGGCACAUAACUCGCAGCCUAUACACACGGACAGAGGCCACACUAUACCCAACGUGUCUAGCCAUUCUUACGCCAUUUAAGGUAACCGCUAACAAGCUAGAAAAAGGUCCUCAUACUGAGCUAAAACCAGAGCCAUGUAGCCCUCAUGGUUGUACGAGUUGUCCCAGCUUUUGCCAAGGGAUAAGUUCUUAUGGAGGGUCAAGAUCAAUCUAGCAAAAGCUAGAGUUCUUUCCACCCUUUAUGUUCAAGUUGCUAGAAAGCUUAUUUUAUUGUUUAUUGUAUAUCCAAACAUUCAUGUUACAAGAUCAUGGAUUAUAAUCAAGCACUAGCAAGAACUACCCAAAUGCAUAUCCAAAUAGGUAACAAAGAAUUCAGGAUAACAAUCAUCUAUGAUUUUGCUAAGGUCAUCAAGGUGGACACAUGCAUAUGAUAAAUAUUGUAUUAAUGGUGUAUAGGUAACAAGGAUAGUCCCCAAUUAUACUUGCCUUGAUCAAAGCUCUCCUGAGCCUGCUGCUGAUCUUCAAAAGCUUCACCUUGAUCACCAACGUAUCGCUCACCGUCUAUACUCGAUCAUCAAUCAACAACACGCAAUCCAAUGUAGACAAGCUAUAUUUAGAACAAUACACCAAACAGUGGUAAAACAAAUAUAAAAGUUUAUCAAAAUAUUCUACGCAGCGCUACGAUCACAUAAACCUAAAGUUCACGGAAUUAAAACGUAAAAGAUAUGAAUUUUCGAAGAUUUCCUAUAGAUAAGUAAUUAAUUAAAUGCUACUGCGAAAAUAAAAAGUUUCAAAACAGAGAAUAUAUACUUCUAACAUGUAGAUCUCGUAAAUACGAAUCUAACAAAAUUUGAAUGGACAAAAACAGAGUUAAAACAAAUAUUUUAUGAGCAAAACAAAUACAGUGGCAAACUUGUAAUUUCCUGAAAACGUAUUU